rnacentral:misc_RNA from 1 species
UUAGGAAAAAUAACAGCAAAUAAAACGAUAACAAGCUAUAUACUACAAGUUGUAUAUCCAAGUGUUCGUGCAGGAGGAUAUUAUAGGCCGGAAAACUGUAGGUCUAGACAUAAAAUAGCUAUUUUAAUACCGUACAGGAAUCGUGAAAAGAAUUUAAUGGUAUUUAUGUACAACAUUCAUGCUUUUCUUAUAAAACAGAAACUGG